CUUGAUCGAGCCGAGCCACAGCGGCCCGUUCUCGCGGUUCUGGCCGUAGGUGGCGAGCAGCGCCUCGGCCUC
rnacentral:antisense_RNA from 2 species